UGGUUUCGUUUUCGACAUGUUGAUUUGUGAUGUCUAUUACACAACCUAUAUGGAUGUUAAGUUAGCAUUUGGCUUUGGAUUACAGAUUCGGCCAGAGACAUAAAUUUGAGAAUCAGUAGUGAUUAGAAGGAAUGAGAUCACCAAAAGAAUGAGUAUAGGUAGAGAAGAGGUGGAUGAACUUGGGAACACUUCAGGAUAAGUGGUUGGGCAAAGACAAAGAACCAGCAAAUGGACUAUUAAGGAACUCCCGUUGAGAGAGGAGGAAAACCAAAGUUGUGUGGUGCCCUGGAAGACAAGUGAAGGAAGGGUGUCUUGAAGAAGGUGUAAAACCAAGCUGUAGCCCAACCACCUGGGGAACAUGUUUUCAAGACCUCCUGCUGUUGUAUCAUAAGUCAUGCUCCUCAAAUUUGGCUCAGAAUAAAUCUCUUCAAAUAUUUUACA
rnacentral:lncRNA from 10 species